rnacentral:rRNA from 1 species
GACGAACCGUGCGAACGUUGUUCGGAAUCACUGGGCUUAAAGGGCGCGUAGGUGGUCUGUCAAGUCGGGGGUGAAAUCUUUCGGCUCAACCGGAAAACUGCCUUCGAUACUGACAGACUAGAGGGAGGUAGGGGUUGCGGGAACUACCAGUGGAGCGGUGAAAUGCGUUGAUAUUGGUAGGAACGCCGGUGGCGAAAGCGCGCAACUGGAGCUCUUCUGACACUGAGGCGCGAAAGCUAGGGGAGCAAACGGG